rnacentral:rRNA from 1 species
UACAGAGGGGGCAAGCGUUGUUCGGAAUUACUGGGCGUAAAGGGCGCGUAGGCGGCCUGUUAAGUCGAACGUGAAAUCCCUGGGCUCAACCCAGGAACUGCGUCCGAUACUGGCAGGCUUGAAUUCGGGAGAGGGAUGUGGAAUUCCAGGUGUAGCGGUGAAAUGCGUAGAUAUCUGGAGGAACACCGGUGGCGAAGGCGGCGUUCUGGACUGCAACUGACACUGAGAAACGAAAGCCAGGGUAGCAAACGGG